UACGGAGGGUGCGAGCGUUGUCCGGAAUCACUGGGCGUAAAGGGCGCGUAGGUGGCGCGGGUAGUCGUCGGUGAAAGCUCAGGGCUCAACCCUGAGUCGGCCGGUGAUACUCCUGUGCUUGAGUGUGGUAGAGGCCAAUGGAAUUCCGGGUGUAGCGGUGGAAUGCGUAGAGAUCCGGAAGAACACCGGUGGCGAAGGCGGUUGGCUGGGCCACAACUGACACUGAUGCGCGGACAGCGUGGGGAGCAAACAGGG
rnacentral:rRNA from 1 species